rnacentral:rRNA from 1 species
UACGAAGGGGGGCUAGCGUUGUUCGGAAUUACUGGGCGUAAAAGCGCACGUAGGCGGGGUUUGUUAAGUCAGGGGGUGAAAAUCCUGGAGCUCAACUCCAGAACUGCCUUUUGAUACUGGCAACCUAGAGACUGGAAGAGGUUAGUGGAAUUCCCAGUGUAGAGGUGAAAAUUCGUAGAUAUUGGGAAGAACACCAGUGGCGAAGGCGGCUAAC